rnacentral:rRNA from 1 species
AGUGAACGCUGGCGGUAGGCCUAACACAUGCAAGUCGAACGGCAGCACAGUAAGAGCUUGCUCUUACGGGUGGCGAGUGGCGGACGGGUGAGGAAUACAUCGGAAUCUACUUUUUCGUGGGGGAUAACGUAGGGAAACUUACGCUAAUACCGCAUACGACCUACGGGUGAAAGCAGGGGAUCUUCGGACCUUGCGCGAUUGAAUGAGCCGAUGUCGGAUUAGCUAGUUGGCGGGGUAAAGGCCCACCAAGGCGACGAUCCGUAGCUGGUCUGAGAGGAUGAUCAGCCACACUGGAACUGAGACACGGUCCAGACUCCUACGGGAGGCAGCAGUGGGGAAUAUUGGAAAAUGGGGGCAAGCCUGAUCCAGCCAUACCGCGUGGGUGAAGAAGGCCUUCGGGUUGUAAAGCCCUUUUGUUGGGAAAGAAAAGCAGCAGGUUAAUACCCCGCUGUUCUGACGGUACCCAAAGAAUAAGCACCGGCUAACUUCGUG